CGAAUUGUCUAAAGAAAACUAUAACUACGUUUUUGCAUUAUUUGGCUCGACAUCAAAAGAUACAUAUUUCCCCUUCUUCCCUCCUUCCGACCAUUCACACAGACAACUGCAAGUUAUGAAUAUUCAUCUGAAGUCUUGCAUGCAAACAUGAGAUAAUAAUGUGUGCUGCAGCCAAGGAUGACUUGCCGGAAGCAACCAACUUCUCCUCUUCUUCUGUUAUUUACAGGUAUAUAAUAUGUUCAUCAAAUAAAAUUGGCUCUUAGGGGUAAAACGUACGUUAAAGAAAAUUAGUUCAGAUCAUAGGUUACGAUUUGUUUAGCUACCAACGCCAGCGUUAACAUCGUGGAUUAGUGGCAUUUAGGAAGAAGUAGGUGUGUUUUCGACAGGUGAUUACCGGCAAGUUGUCCCUGGCUACAUGUCUGUCUCAUGUUUACAUGUUAGAUCUCUAUGAUGAUAUACAAAAAUGGCGAGGGAAGAGGCCAAGAUUCAACAUGCCAUGACAGUAAGUAAGUUUUCGCAAUCUGUUUCACUAAUCCCCGUUCGG
rnacentral:sRNA from 1 species